GUUUGUCGCGUUGUUCGUGAAAUCUCACGGCUUAACUGUGAGCGUGCGGGCGAUACGGGCAGACUUGAGUACUGCAGGGGAGACUGGAAUUCCUGGUGUAGCGGUGGAAUGCGCAGAUAUCAGGAGGAACACCGGUGGCGAAGGCGGGUCUCUGGGCAGUAACUGACGCUGAGGAGCGAAAGCGUGGGGAGCGAACAGGAUUAGAUACCCUGGUAGUCCACGCCGUAAACGGUGGGUACUAGGUGUGGGUUUCCUUCCUUGGGAUCCGUGCCGUAGCUAACGCAUUAAGUACCCCGCCUGGGGAGUACGGCCGCAAGGCUAAAACUCAAAGAAAUUGACGGGGGCCCGCACAAGCGGCGGAGCAUGUGGAUUAAUUCGAUGCAACGCGAAGAACCUUACCUGGGUUUGACAUGCACAGGACGCCGGCAGAGAUGUCGGUUCCCUUGUGGCCUGUGUGCAGGUGGUGCAUGGCUGUCGUCAGCUCGUGUCGUGAGAUGUUGGGUUAAGUCCCGCAACGAGCGCAACCCUUGUCUCAUGUUGCCAGCGGGUAAUGCCGGGGACUCGUGAGAGACUGCCGGGGUCAACUCGGAGGAAGGUGGGGAUGACGUCAAGUCAUCAUGCCCCUUAUGUCCAGGGCUUCACACAUGCUACAAUGGCCGGUACAAAGGGCUGCGAUGCCGCGAGGUUAAGCGAAUCCUUUUAAAGCCGGUCUCAGUUCGGAUCGGGGUCUGCAACUCGACCCCGUGAAGUCGGA
rnacentral:rRNA from 1 species